rnacentral:rRNA from 1 species
UACAGAGGUCUCAAGCGUUGUUCGGAUUCAUUGGGCGUAAAGGGUGCGUAGGCGGCGCGGUAAGUCGGAUGUGAAAUCUCGGAGCUUAACUCCGAAACUGCAUUCGAUACUGCCGUGCUUGAGGACUGGAGAGGAGACUGGAAUUUACGGUGUAGCGGUGAAAUGCGUAGAUAUCGUAAGGAAGACCAGUGGCGAAGGCGGGUCUCUGGGCAGUAACUGACGCUGAGGAGCGAAAGCGUGGGGAGCGAACAGG